GAUGAAGAACGCAGCGAAAUGCGAUAAGUAAUGUGAAUUGCAGAAUUCAGUGAAUCAUCGAAUCUUUGAACGCACAUUGCGCCCGCCAGUAUUCUGGCGGGCAUGCCUGUUCGAGCUUCAUUUUCACCAUCAAGCUCUGCUUGUGUUGGGGUCCUGCGGCUGCCCGCAGGCCCUGAAACCCAGUGGCGGGCUCGCUAGUCACACCGAGCGCAGUAGCACAUCUCGCUCAGGGCGUGCGGCGGGUUCUUGCCGUAAAACAACCCCCCCUUUUCACCAAGGUUGACCUCGGAUCAGGUAGGAAUACCCGCUGAACUUAAGCAUAUCAAUAAGCGGAGGA
rnacentral:misc_RNA from 1 species